CUACGGGGGGCUGCAGGCGAGAAAACUUUGCAAUGUGCGAAAGCACGACAAGGUUAAUCCGAGUGGUUUCUGCUAAAGGAACCUUUUGACAGUCCUAGAAACACUGUUGAAUAAGGGGUGGGCAAGUUCUGGUGUCAGCCGCCGCGGUAAAACCAGCACCUCAAGUGGUCAGGAUGAUUAUUGGGCCUAAAGCAUCCGUAGCCGGCUCUGUAAGUUUUCGGUUAAAUCUGUACGCUCAACGUACAGGCUGCCGGGAAUACUGCAGAGCUAGGGAGUGGGGGAGGUAGACGGUACUCGGUAGGAAGGGGUAAAAUCCUUUGAUCUAUUGAUGACCACCUGUGGCGAAGGCGGUCUACCAGAACACGUCCGACGGUGAGGGAUGAAAGCUGGGGGAGCAAACCGGAUUAGAUACCCGUGUAGUC
rnacentral:rRNA from 1 species